rnacentral:lncRNA from 1 species
AUGUUGAAGUUUUUAGUAAUACUAGUUUUUGGUUAAUUCUCUAACUUUAUAUACAUUUUUUAUUGUAACAUUUGUUAUAUCUGUUUAUAGAUAGAAAUGUUAAAAUGUGUAGGAGGAAAUGAUUGUGGCGAAAUGGUGCGCAAUAUUUUAGACAGGUUAUUUAGCAUUUCUGUAAUGUCGAAAAUGAACAUGAAAGGGUCAUCUAGACAAGGGGAAGCAAAGAUAGCAUUUAAGAAUUUAGAAUUCUUCAGUUUGAUUCAAGAGGUAGUCACCAGGCAAUUCAGUAA